rnacentral:tRNA from 2 species
GCUGAAUUAGCUCAAUUGGUAGAGCAGUUGACUCUUAAUCAAUUGGUUCGGGGUUCAAGUCCCCGAUUCAGUA